GAUGAACGCUGGCGGCGUGCCUAAUACAUGCAAGUCGAGCGAACGGACGAGAAGCUUGCUUCUCUGAUGUUAGCGGCGGACGGGUGAGUAACACGUGGAUAACCUACCUAUAAGACUGGGAUAACUUCGGGAAACCGGAGCUAAUACCGGAUGAUAUUUUGAACCGCAUGGUUCAAAAGUGAAAGACGGUCUUGCUGUCACUUAUAGAUGGAUCCGCGCUGCAUUAGCUAGUUGGUAAGGUAACGGCUUACCAAGGCAACGAUGCAUAGCCGACCUGAGAGGGUGGUCGGCCACACUGGGACUGAGACACGGUCCAGACUCCUACGGGAGGCAGCAGUAGGGAAUCUUCCGCAAUGGGCGAAAGCCUGACGGAGCAACGCCGCGUGAGUGAUGAAGGUCUUCGGAUCGUAAAACUCUGUUAUUAGGGAAGAACAUAUGUGUAAGUAACUGUGCACAUCUUGACGGUACCUAAUCAGAAAGCCACGGCUAACUACGUG
rnacentral:rRNA from 1 species